rnacentral:lncRNA from 1 species
AAGAAAAAUGCAUGAGAAAAAGAAAGGAAAAGAAGAAAAGAGAAAAAACAGGUAAAGUGAGCUCAAUGUAAAAGGAAAAAGGGAAGAAGUUGGGAAUGAAAUAGAUUGGUUAAAAGGAGAGUGUGCUUGAACUUUGAAUGAUGAUUUAAAAUCUCUUAACUCAAGGAUUUUGUAUUCUAGAAAAACCAAUUCUUCUUGAUAGUCCAGCCUUAUUACAAGCCCUGGAAAAAGUCCUUGUGAUGACAUUUGCUUGUGAAUAUUU